GAGGAUGAAGGAAGCAGAAGGAAGACCACACUGGAAGGACCUUCAUUAAAUAGGAAGCCAUCAGCAGCAUCCUUUCAUGAGAAAUCAGAAGUGGGGGCAGGCGAUGACUGGGAAGAGGUGACCAGCAGAGUGGUGAGACAGGAGAGAUCGGAACUCAGGUGUCUGAGUCCCGGGCACCCCCGCUGCAUGGUUGGUGCUCCCUCUCUGUUGCUCGCAGCUGCUCCAGCUGCUGCUGCUGGCCAUCCCCAGUGUCUGGAAGGUGGCAUGCCGAGGGAUACUGCAGAGUCCUUUCUAGGAGGGAGUCCACACAGGCCACCUCUGGGACAGGAACAACAAAUCUUGCAGCAGCGGUGGUCGGCACUCAAUUUAUAAGCACAAUUUUUUCUGCAAAGAUCUCCUCCCCGCCCAGCUUAUAAUUUAAAUUGUGUUCAAGGGAAACAAGCUGAGUAUUCUAAAACCCAAAGACACUCAUAACAUGGAAUGCGAUAAAAGUCUGGAGGAAAAGUGGUUUACUCUGAUAUGUUUUUCACCU
rnacentral:lncRNA from 1 species